GAUCCCCACCGCCACCCUCCCUGGACGCCCGCAUCGCCGCACAUCAGCAGCCGCCCUCCCUGGACGCCCGCAUCGCCGCACAUCAGCAGCCGCCCUCCCUGACGCGGUGACGCCCGCAUCUUGCUUCCCUCCUUGUCGCCCCUUGCCACCUGCUCCGCACGGCCCUGCCGCCCAUCUCUCUUCCUCGCCCGGCUCGGCUCCGCCAAGGUCUCCUGCUCUCCACCACGGGGAGGGCUUGUUGACUGCGGCAAGAACACAUACCACACUAUCAGUACCAGUGAUUGAUAGGGAUUCCUCAGGAUCUGUUCUGUCGGGCUAUUGGUGAGAUUUGGCCUCCAGCGCCGCCCUGUGCCGCCGCCACCAUGACCGCAAGAACAGGCGGCCAAUCUUCGUGGAUGAGGACACGCGGGCUCCAUCUGGACCAAACUGCCAUCGGCAUGAGAGCCAAAACAAAUUUCCGCUGACCAAGUUUCUGUGUGCUACUCCAUGUCAUGUAUUGAGUCACAAAUAAAUCCAGGUCAUAAUAUGCAUCCACACAAUUCAAAUUCAUGUUUUGGAAGGAUAUUGACCAACUAACCAUGCUUCCGAUGACAGUUACAACAAUUCUAGAGCAUAUAUCGUCCUCAAUCCUCCUGAUUUUCCUAUCAUCAUUUCCAUAGUGUUCGAGUUGUAAAGCCUUGGCCCGUGGCUACUAUGAUUUAGAGGAGGUAAUUGUUUCUGAUGAAGAGUUGAAUCUACGCACCAUGGAUUCUGAACUGUUACCGUGAACUGGAGAAGUGGUUAUCUUUUUUCUAUAUUAUAACUAAAAUGCAGGCUUUAACUAAAUAUUUUGUUAUGUCCGCCAAUCGGCUGGUUCAUUUAGCCUCAUUUGUAUCCAGAUAACCAUCAGAUAAAAUAUUUGGAAAUAUCGAAUAGAGAGAAUCAACAUCACAGUUCUGAGGAGCUUCAUUUGUCAAACUUUCUGGAGCCGAUCAUCUUGAUCAUUUUUGAAGGAUGGGUGCUGGACUUGGCACAUUUCCCUGAGAGGGUCACUCUCGCAAUAAAUGUUGGUUUCUGAUGGAAUUAUGUAUCUGUAUUAUGCACCCCUGCCAAUUUUGAUUCUUGUUCUCUGGUAAUCUACAGAGCGAUAAGGUCUAACUGUGUCCAGCCAUAAUGGCAGGACGAAUCCCUCAUUUUGUGCUGUAUUUGAUUUUCUCCGGGUCUCUUUGAAAGUGUAGUUGUUAGCCUUGGCUAAACCAAUAGAAUUUAGGCAACUAUGAAGCAUGUGGAUGCGUUACAUUUUUCCUGAAUUAGUCC